GAUGAACGCUGACAGAAUGCUUAACACAUGCAAGUCCACUUGAAUUUGGGUUUUUAACUUAGGUUUGGGUGGCGGACGGGUGAGUAACGCGUAAAGAACUUGCCUCACAGCUAGGGACAACAUUUGGAAACGAAUGCUAAUACCUAAUAUUAUGAUAAUAGGGCAUCCUAUAAUUAUGAAAGCUAUAAGCGCUGUGAGAGAGCUUUGCGUCCCAUUAGCUAGUUGGAGAGGUAACGGCUCACCAAGGCGAUGAUGGGUAGCCGGCCUGAGAGGGUGAUCGGCCACAAGGGGACUGAGACACGGCCCUUACUCCUACGGGAGGCAGUAGUGGGGAAUAUUGGACAAUGGACCAAGAGUCUGAUCCAGCAAUUCUGUGUGCACGAUGAAGUUUUUCGGAAUGUAAAGUGCUUUCAGUUGGGAAGAAAGAAAUGACGGUACCAACAGAAGAAGUGACGGCUAAAUACGUG
rnacentral:rRNA from 1 species